CCUACGGGAGGCUGCAGUGAGGAAUAUUGGUCAAUGGCCGGAAAGCUGAACCAGCCAUGCCGCGUGAAGGUCAGUGCCCUAUGGGCGUUAAACUUCUUUUGUGCGGGCGCAAUAAUGGUCACGUGUGGCCAGACGAGAGUACCGUACGAAUAAGCAUCGGCUAACUCCGUGCCAGCAGCCGCGGUAAUACGGGGGAUGCAAGCGUUAUCCGGAUUUAUUGGGUUUAAAGGGGUCGUAGGCUGUGGGGGAAGGAAGCGGUGAAAUGCCCCCGCUCAACGGGGUGAAGGUCCAUUGAUACUGCCUUGCUGGAAUGCUGAUGCCGUGGGAGGAAUGUGUGGUGUAGCGGUGAAAUGCAUAGAUAUCACACAGAACACCGAUUGCGAAGGCAUCUCACGAAUCCGCGAUUGACGCUGAUGCACGAAAGCGUGGGUAUCAAACAGGAUUAGAUACCCUUGUAGUC
rnacentral:rRNA from 1 species